CACUAAGAAGCUAAUAGACCAAGCGCCAGCCUUUUAAGCUGGAGACUGAUGGCUCAAAAUCAUCCUUAGUGA
rnacentral:tRNA from 1 species